rnacentral:sRNA from 1 species
AUUCUGCCCAUGCGGGGAAGGAUGAGAAGCUUCGACCAAGGUUCGACUCGAGCUCCAGCGAGAGAGCGUUGCCGCAGGCAACGACCCGUAGGGCGAAGCGCGCAGCGCUGAGUAAUCCUUCCCCCACCACCA